UGCCCCAGAUAUUCUCCCCCUGAAUUGAUGGAUAUUGAAAGCUUCAGGAUCGUGUCAUUUUAAAGAAACAGAAGAAACCUUGUUGGGCUGUCAGUCUUCGGACACUCUUGGAAUACUUUUCUUCUACCCAGGGAAUCAUAACAGCCACAAUUUCAGACAGUGUAAAACCUCAGUGAUUGAAAACAAGCUAUUUUAUGACCAAAAACAUAAAGCACAACCCUGCAGGAAGUGAAAUGCUUCUGCCCAUCUAAAACUGUGCAAAAACUACAGAAGAGGUACAUCUUUCCACUGAAAAUAUUAUCCUCAGGGCACUAUUACUAUGUUUUUGUCAUGAAAGUGAAAGAGGUAUAAGUCAGGGAGCCUCAGGUGACAGCGAAUUACCAAGGACUUUCUUAGAAGUAUAUGAAAUAUAAUUACACUCCUCAAUAGGUGAGACAAUAUAUAUUUUGAGUAGAGAAAGGAAAAUAAAAAGUAUAUGAGAUAAAUUGGCUGUGCUGUG
rnacentral:lncRNA from 1 species